rnacentral:rRNA from 1 species
UACAGAGGUCUCAAGCGUUGUUCGGAUUCAUUGGGCGUAAAGGGUGCGUAGGCGGCGCGGUAAGUCGGGUGUGAAAUCUCGGGGCUUAACUCCGAAACUGCAUUCGAUACUGCCGUGCUUGAGGACUGGAGAGGAGUACUGGAAUUCAUGGUGUAGCAGUGAAAUGCGUAGAGAUAUGAGGAAGACCAGUGGCGAAGGCGGG